rnacentral:rRNA from 11 species
GUCUGUGAGCCUGAAUAUCCUGAAGGCACCAGAUUCUCAUGUGAUCAUGGAAGCAAAGCAGUGUCAGUCCCGAUUAGAACUUGAGUGAAGGACUAUCAAAAGGUAGCAGGUGCUAUUGACU